rnacentral:rRNA from 1 species
GUGGGGAAUUUUGGACAAUGGGCGCAAGCCUGAUCCAGCAAUGCCGCGUGCAGGAAGAAGGCCUUCGGGUUGUAAACUGCUUUUGUACGGAACGAAACGGUCCGGGUUAAUACCCUGGGCUAAUGACGGUACCGUAAGAAUAAGCACCGGCUAACUACGUGCCAGCAGCCGCGGUAAUACGUAGGGUGCAAGCGUUAAUCGGACUUACUGGGCGUAAAGCGUGCGCAGGCGGUUUUGUAAGACAGGCGUGAAAUCCCCGGGCUCAACCUGGGAAUUGCGCUUGUGACGGCAAGGCUGGAGUGCGGCAGAGGGGGAUGGAAUUCCGCGUGUAGCAGUGAAAUGCGUAGAUAUGCGGAGGAACACCGAUGGCGAAGGCAAUCCCCUGGGCCUGCACUGACGCUCAUGCACGAAAGCGUGGGGAGCAAACAGGAUUAGAAACCCGGGUAGUCC